rnacentral:lncRNA from 1 species
AUGGCACGUGCACUUCUGAAUUUAGCUCCUGUACAUCAUCUUGGAUUGGCUUAGGCGCGAGCAUGCUUGUACAUCGUGGCAGUAGUCACAUCUGGGUGGUUGAAGCGCUGACUUUCAUCGCCUGAUCCUUUCCUAGGAGGGAAUGUGUCUGUGAGGGUCAGGUCGCACGAGCGGCCUUGCUGUGUGGGAGCGCUGUCUUCACGUGUCUUGAGGGGUGCCAUGAUGGGAUAUCACAUCUGCUAUACUAUACUAGAUUGUAGCUUUAUCCAUCCAUGGGGAUAAAGCUAUAAAAGGUGGAGAUUUGAUGGGUGCUUGUUCCCCUAUCACGCUUCCCGUGACUAUCGAGUUAGGUGGGAGCAUGGCAGUCGCAUUAAAUGCCCUAGCUUUCGUACCCGCGACACGCGGUGGAGGACGCUUUUGCGCUCGAGGCCAUCAAUUCGCUCGACGCUAUUUCCGUACUCGACGGUCGCUGGCUAUCGAGCUCUUAUAUUGGACCCUGUUUCCGUGUUCGAGGCCAUGAUCGACACCAUGCCCUGGUGAUCACAUAUUUAUGUCAGAGCGUCGAGCUGGAGCCUCAAUUUGUUUAUUUAUCCUCUCGUUGUGAGUGUUGGCUGGGAUACCCCCUAUUGACAUCCUCGACAACUAUCAUGUUCCUAAGACCAAGAUCACAUACAACCACAUAUAUCUGCCAUUCCUACAUUGGGAAUGUGCACAAACAUGUCUUUCCAUCCAUUAAAAAUGUUUUACUCCUACACUAGGAGGAAACACAAGAAGAGUCUUAGUAGGAAUAAUUGCUCUAAGUUCUUUAAAAAGUCUUUCUCAAUAUUUUUGGGUUACAGAAGGACGUAUGUGGCUAUGCAAAAUAAAAGUACUAAAAAAAGAAAAAAAUGGAAAAAGAGAAAAAGGAUAGGUGUCCUAGAAAGAAAGAAGAAUAAAAGAUAGCCCAUACCAUCCUAUACAAAGACCAUCAGUGCUUUAGAGAAAGAAAGACAUUUUUCAAAAGAGCAAUGUAGAAUUAGGAUUAGCCACUAUAUAUUCCACACACAUGCGCUUCUUGAUCUAAGAGUAUGCUAUUCCCCUCCAUGGAUCUGAGUUUUGACUUAGCAAGAUAUGUAAUGUAAUUAUGCUAUUUCCUUGAAUUACCUUUAACUCCAUAUAAGCCUAUAUAGAGUAGGAUAUAUAUGAUAUAUGCUUUGGAGAGUCCCACAAAUACCACCUAUAAUGAGUGAUUUUAGUGUGCUACAUGAUGGAGAAGGGUAAGCUAAGUUUUUCUUUGCAAAAAUAUUAUCAAGCUCCAAGUGACAGAGCUAAAAGAAAAGAGAACUCUAUUUUGUACUAUUCCAUCGUCAACCUCCCAAAGUUUUAUGGUAGACACUUUGAAUCCCGUAGUACAUGUAUGACUUGGAAUAAAUUUGGUAAUGUCUUGGUUUGAGGUUAAGAUUAAAAUAAUGUAUAUAUCCUUUUUCCUCGAGGAUGAGUAAAAGAUAAGUGUGGGGGAGUUUGUUGACUGUAGCGCCAAAAUUUUACCGUGAACUUAACAUGAAAAGGACCUAUUUGCAAGCACUCAGUAGAAAUAGGGUUAUCACUAAUAGAAUUCCAUGAGUUUUGGUGAUUGUCUAUUUCUGUAGGGGGUUACCAGAAUAAUAACAAAAGAAGGUCCACAUGUCAGGUUUACAUAGAGAGAAGGCCGGAACAUCAACUCAAGAAGACUCUAGAAGACUCCAGGAGACACCACCUAAAAGGUGGGACCACCUGCCAAAGGACAGGGGUGGUCGCCUGGGGUUCUCCACUAAUCGGAGUGAACCUCGCAGAUCCUGCCUCCACCGGCUUUGAGGAUUAAUCUGAAGUGCACGUUUAAGUCGGUUUGAUCCAAGGGCUAUGGUGAUUCCUAGGGGACUAUAAAUAAAGACACUACCACCCCAGAGAUGUAACUCUAAAACCCUAAUUCAUAUUUUCCAGAGAGAGUUAGAUUGAGAGGGGUCUCUCGAAUGGAUCUAUCUCUUUAGGGUGAUAGCAACAAGAGAGACUGAGAGAGUAUAGGGUGAGGAUAGAAGUUGAGGAAGCCCGGC